rnacentral:tRNA from 1 species
ACUUAAAUAAUUUAAAUAAAAAAAUAUUGAUUUGUGGAGUCAAAAAUAUGAAUGGUAAUUUCAUUUUAGGUU